rnacentral:rRNA from 1 species
UGGAUCCAGACUUUGAUCCUGGCUCAGGAUGAACGCUAGCUACAGGCUUAACACAUGCAAGUCGAGGGGAAACGAUAUUGGAAGCUUGCUUCCGAUAGGCGUCGACCGGCGCACGGGUGAGUAACGCGUAUCCAACCUGCCCAUCACUUGGGGAUAACCUUGCGAAAGUAAGACUAAUACCCAAUGAUAUCUCUAGAAGACAUCUGAAGGAGAUUAAAGAUUCAUCGGUGAUGGAUGGGGAUGCGUCUGAUUAGCUUGUUGGCGGGGUAACGGCCCACCAAGGCGACGAUCAGUAGGGGUUCUGAGAGGAAGGUCCCCCACAUUGGAACUGAGACACGGUCCACACUCCUACGGGAGGCAGCAGUGAGGAAUAUUGGUCAAUGGACGAGAGUCUGAACCAGCCAAGUAGCGUGCAGGAUGACGGCCCUAUGGGUUGUAAACUGCUUUUAUAAGGGAAUAAAGUGGGAGUCGUGACUCCUUUUGCAUGUACCUUAUGAAUAAGGACCGGCUAAUUCCGUGCCAGCAGCCGCGGUAAUACGGAAGGUCCGGGCGUUAUCCGGAUUUAUUGGGUUUAAAGGGAGCGUAGGCCGGAGAUUAAGCGUGUUGUGAAAUGUAGAUGCUUAACAUCUGCACUGCAGCGCGAACUGGUUUCCUUGAGUACGCACAAAGUGGGCGGAAUUCGUGGUGUAGCGGUGAAAUGCUUAGAUAUCACGAAGAACUCCGAUUGUGAAGGCAGCUCACUGGAGCGCAACUGACGCUGAAGCUCGAAAGUGCGGGUAUCGAACAGGAUUAGAUACCCUGGUAGUCCGCACGGUAAACGAUGGAUGCCCGCUGUUGGUCUGAAUAGGUCAGCGGCCAAGCGAAAGCAUUAAGCAUCCCACCUGGGGAGUACGCCGGCAACGGUGCAACUCAAAGGAAUUGACGGA